rnacentral:rRNA from 1 species
UACAGAGGUCCCGAGCGUUGUUCGGAUUCAUUGGGCGUAAAGGGUGCGUAGGCGGCGGGGUAAGUCUGAUGUGAAAUCCUGGGGCUCAACCCCAGAACUGCAUUGGAUACUGCCUUGCUAGAGUACUGGAGAGGAAACUGGAAUUUACGGUGUAGCAGUGAAAUGCGUAGAUAUCGUAAGGAAGACCAGUGGCGAAGGCGGGUCUCUGGACAGUUCCUGACGCUGAGGCACGAAGGUCAGGGGAGCAAACGGG